UCCAGACUCCUACGGGAGGCAGCAGUGAGGAAUAUUGGUCAAUGGGCGGAAGCCUGAACCAGCCAAGUCGCGUGAGGGAAUAAGGCCCUACGGGUCGUAAACCUCUUUUGCCGGGGAGCAACGGGGUCCUUGCGAGGGCCCGAUGAGAGUACCCGGAGAAAAAGCAUCGGCUAACUCCGUGCCAGCAGCCGCGGUAAUACGGAGGAUGCGAGCGUUAUCCGGAUUUAUUGGGUUUAAAGGGUGCGUAGGCGGGCUGUUAAGUCAGCGGUCAAAUGUCGGGGCUCAACCCCGCCCAGCCGUCGGAACUGCCGGGCUAGAGUGGGCGAGAAGUGCGCGGAAUGCGUGGUGUAGCGGUGAAAUGCAUAGAUAUCACGCAGAACUCCGAUUGCGAAGGCAGCGCACCGGCGCCCUACUGACGCUCAGGCACGAAAGCGUGGGUAUCGAACAGGAUUAGAUACCCGAGUAG
rnacentral:rRNA from 1 species